GCAAAGUCGGGGCCUGCGGCGGCGUGAAUACGGAGGGUCCAAGGGUUAUCCGGAAGCAUUCGGUUUAAAGGGUCCGUAAGCAGCUUAGUAAGUCAGCGGUUAAAGUUUGCAGCUUAACUGUAAAAUUGCCAUUGAUACUGUUAGGCUUGAAUUAUUGUGAAGUAACUAGAAUAUGUAGUGUAGCGGUGAAAUGCUUAGAUAUUACAUGGAAUACCAAUUGCGAAGGCAGGUUACUAACAAUGGAUUGACGCUGAUGGACGAAAGCGUGGGUAGCGAACAGGAUUAGAUACCCGGGUAGUC
rnacentral:rRNA from 1 species